rnacentral:piRNA from 1 species
AAGUGUGAAUUCUCUGACGUUGAAUGAGUU